UCCGACGAGGAACUCGACAUCUUUGGCGAAUCUAUUUCCUCUGGCUCGUUCGGCGAAGCCAGUGACGCUCUCAAGGUAACUAGCAAGCUAACUUCUCAAAUUGCCAAUACCUAUAUAGCUAGUUCAGGAUUUUCCCUGCAUCCAAACACUUUAGUUUGAAUUACUUACUUUCCUUUUUCGCAGAGCUUGAUUCCUUGUGCGAGUGUGGUGGAGAGAAACCUCCUAGCUGACACAUCCAAGAUUGUUGACAACAACAGCAAGGUCUACAAGCGAAAAGACGAUUUAAGGAAGAUCGUUACCGAAAGCCUCUCGUCUCUC
rnacentral:lncRNA from 1 species